rnacentral:hammerhead_ribozyme from 1 species
AUCCAGCUGAAGAGUCCCAAAUAUUACAAAACGCGCGUCCUGGAU